GGGACCUUCAAGAUCAUUUAGUUAUGAAACUCCUGCCAUUGCCAGGGACACAUUCCAAUGGAUCAGGUCUAUCAUAUAGGUCAAAGUCCCAUCCAUCUGAGCACUAUUUAGAGCCAAACUGCUCUGCUGGGGGAAACCUGGCAUCCACACACUGGAUAUCCUGCAAAGCUCUUCUCGAAAAAACACCCUUUCUGUUUCUCCUCAAAUUAUACCCUUGCAGGAGAGCUAGUGCUUGGAUCAGAGAAGAGCAGAACAAAUCGAGGCCAGCUUAGAGUGAAGGUUAGUGCAUCCAUUCCUAUUAGAUCAGCAGACCUUGCUCGUGCACUCAUAUGUCUUUCUCAAGCACAACUUCCAAGGAUAUGUCCUUAAGGAGAAACGGCAGCCAAGAUCUGGAGAUGCUGGAUG